UUUUUUGCUACCGGUGUCUUUGUGCUCCAGUGAGAUGUUUUAAGUUCUAUCAGAUGGUUCUCUUGCCGUCAUGAGCUUUUUAGCAGCUUUAUAUCGUCCUCGUCACUAGUUCACUGAUCAACCUGCACAUGGUCGACUCUUCCCCCUCCCUCACACACCAUGAUUGAUGCCGGUGACGUACUCUCACUAAAACAGUGGAGCAGCUGAAAGUGACGUCCAAAUGUGCGCACAUUGCACAAACCCAGCUGUUACACAAAAGAUGAGGAAAAAUUCAAGCAGCAAUAUGAUAUCUGAUAUACAUCACUGGGAAAUUAAUGACAAAUGCUGUAAUAGUUCAGGCUUUUGAACAGAUCAUAUAUCCUGAUAAAAAAAAAAGUGACUAUUUGUAAUACACUGCCUUUUUAUUGAAGUUAAAAAAUAUCUCUAUCAGAAUGAAAAACAGUUUGUCAAGCAUGAAUAGUAUGGAAAACAUAAUGAAUAAAUAAAUACAUUGUGUAAUAUUUAGUUAGUACUAUAGUAAUACUGGGCCUCAUUCACUAGUACGUGCACAGAAAUGUCAUUACUCUAAGAAGUAUGUGUGCGCAGAAUCACCGCCGGAUUCAUCACAGCAAAUUUGGUUCUCACCAGUGUUUUUAUGUUUGUGAAUAGAGUAAUUCUAAACUGACAAGCACGUGCAUGUGGGCUGCAGUCUACAUACAGCCACGCCUCCAUUUCACAAUACAAGAACAUCGGUUUGGUUUCACCAUGAGAUCGCU